rnacentral:rRNA from 1 species
AGUGAACGCUGGCGGUAGGCCUAACACAUGCAAGUCGAACGGCCGCACAGUAAGCGCUUGCUCUUACGGGUGGCGAGUGGCGGACGGGUGAGGAAUACAUCGGAAUCUACUUUUUCGUGGGUGAUAACGUAGGGCAACAUACGCUAAUACCGCAUACGACCUACGGGUUAAAGCAGUGGUUCUUCGGACCUUUCCCGACUGAUUGAGCCGAUGUCGGAUUAGCUAGUUGGCUGGGUAAAGGCCCACCAAGGCGACGAUCCGUAGCUGGUCUGAGAGGAUGAUCAGCCACACUGGAACUGAGACACGGUCCAGACUCCUACGGGAGGCAGCAGUGGGGAAUAUUGGACAAUGGGCGCAAGCCUGAUCCAGCCAUACCGCGUGGGUGAAGAAGGCCUUCGGGUUGUAAAGCCCUUUUGUUGGGAAAGAAAAGCAGCAGGUUAAUACCCCGCUGUUCUGACGGUACCCAAAGAAUAAGCACCGGCUAACUUCGUG